UACAGAGGGUGCAAGCGUUGUUCGGAAUUACUGGGCGUAAAGAGUGUGUAGGCGGUGCUCUAAGUCUGUUGUGAAAUCUCCCGGCUCAACUGGGAGGGUGCGGCGGAAACUGGAGUGCUCGAGUGUGGGAGAGGUAAGCGGAAUUCCUGGUGUAGCGGUGAAAUGCGUAGAUAUCAGGAGGAACACCUGUGGUGUAGACAGCUUACUGGACCACGACUGACGCUGAGACACGAAAGCGUGGGUAGCAAACAGG
rnacentral:rRNA from 1 species